UACGUAGGUGGCGAGCGUUGUCCGGAAUUACUGGGUGUAAAGGGCGUGUAGGCGGGCAGAUAAGUCAGAUGUGAAAUACCGGGGCUCAACCCCGGGGCUGCAUUUGAAACUGUAUGUCUUGAGUGCCGGAGAGGAAAGCGGAAUUCCUAGUGUAGCGGUGAAAUGCGUAGAUAUUAGGAGGAACACCAGUGGCGAAGGCGGCUUUCUGGACGGUAACUGACGCUGAGGCGCGAAAGCGUGGGUAGCAAACAGG
rnacentral:rRNA from 1 species